CCUGAAUUUUCCCUUGAGAAGGGUCUGGCUGCAGCCACUGUGGAGCUCCACAGUAACCGGAAACACGUGACCUCCACAGUAACCGGAAACACGUGACCUCCACAGUAGGCAGAAAUACGUUCCUGCGUGGAUCAUCGACUGUGGAAAUCUUGCAAGUGGAUCGUAAAGAUGCUCAUAUCAAUUUGGAGUUCUGCCUCCAAGCCAGAAUUACAGGAAUGCACAACAUGUUGCAGAAGACUCUUUCACUGCCCUCUGUGCCCCACUUUCAGCCCUACUGUCAAGGCAAAGAUUGAGGAGUAUAUAAAUGGACACAUUAAAAAUGCUUUGCCUUUCAAAGACAAAAUGAUAUACCGGUGCACUUUCACUGCCCUGUCUGUAACAUGACAGUAAUACAGCGUGGGGAUAUGGCAAGGCAAUUUUUCUCAUGUCAGCAUUCAGGACUGCUCCCCACUGAACUCUCCGUGGAGCCCCAUCUCCCUCUCGAUGUCUUGUCUCCAGUAUCUAAACCAUUUUCUGAAUCUUCAGUAGAACAUUCAUGUGCUCGACCCUCUGUGCUAAAUGAAACUGUGGCUUGUGGAAAGUCCUUGAAAAUGAAACGCCCUCACUGUGGUCUUAGUCUUCUUAAAAAAAACUUCAAGGCUCACAUGAUGAGGAGGCAUUCAAACAGAUCAAUAGAUGUUUGCCUGGCCUGUCAUCUGCAGUGUUUUUGUGUAGAGGGACUUUUUCCUCUUUGUUUUUCAGUUUGCAGAGGACAUGGAGCUCUUUUUAAAAGCUUGUGCUGAUGAGCAGGGACUACGGGUCAAUGCGAUGUUUGACAUUUAAUGGACAGAUGAAGUCACUGGCUGUUUGUUUGUGUUUUUUAUGUGGUGUUGUUUGUUUUUCAGUGUACAGAAUUCCAGUUAAACUUAUUAUUAAAUAUUCACUUGUUUCCAUGUCCAUACUUAUAGUAAAAAAAUUAAGUGUAAAUGCAACAGCAUUGUUUAUACUUGUAACUUCAGAGUAAAAAGCUUAUUGUUGAUAUUAACAUUAAUAUAUUACCCUGUAAUCAAUAAUAUUUUUAUACAUUUUACGCAUCAACCCUCUGGGCUCUAUCCUGGCCAUUUGUGGCCACUUGACUUCUCUUUUUUUUUUUUUUUUGACGACUACACUGCAGUGGACCAAAAGAAUGACAUAGGUUUGAUCUUAAGGAUCUAAUACUUGUGUGUGUUUGUGCAUGACAUUGCAAUGCAAAUAUGUAUUUGCAAGAUAAACUGAAAUAAAUUAUGACGCAUCAAAUAUUA
ensembl:lncRNA